rfam:Diaporthe ampelina DA_912_scaffold_v01_30, whole genome shotgun sequence.
GGCAACGUGGCCGAGUGGUCUAAGGCGCUACGUUCAGGUGAAUUCAUCUUCGUAGUCUCGAAAGAGGCGUGUGUUCGAGUCACACCGUUGUCA